UUUGAUUCUGGCUCAGGACGAACGCUGGCGGCGUGCUUAACACAUGCAAGUCGAACGGGGUGUUUAUUUCGGUAAACACCAAGUGGCGAACGGGUGAGUAACGCGUAAGCAAUCUACCUUCAAGAUGGGGACAACACUUCGAAAGGGGUGCUAAUACCGAAUGAAUGUAAGAGUAUCGCAUGAGACACUUACUAAAGGAGGCCUCUGACAUAAGCUUCCGCUUGAAGAUGAGCUUGCGUCUGAUUAGCUAGUUGGUGAGGGUAAAGGCCCACCAAGGCGACGAUCAGUAGCCGGUCUGAGAGGAUGAACGGCCACAUUGGGACUGAGACACGGCCCAGACUCCUACGGGAGGCAGCAGUGGGGAAUCUUCCGCAAUGGGCGAAAGCCUGACGGAGCAACGCCGCGUGAACGAUGAAGGUCUUAGGAUCGUAAAGUUCUGUUGUUAGGGACGAAGGGUAAGGAUCAUAAUAAGGUUUUUAUUUGACGGUACCUAACGAGGAAGCCACGGCUAACUACGUGCCAGCAGCCGCGGUAAUACGUAGGCGGCAAGCGUUGUCCGGAAUUAUUGGGCGUAAAGGGAGCGCAGGCG
rnacentral:rRNA from 1 species